GUUAUUGCUGAAGAUGCAAACUUCAACUGUCUCACCUGUGACCAACACUUCAAACACGACCACCACAAAGACCAAAGAACAAAUACUCAUCCAGAGUAAGGACAUGCGGACUCUGUGUGCGAUGCACGUCUACAUUACGUCUGUGUCCUCUUUAACUGGAUAUCGAUAAAACACACCCUUGUGCAUGAGGUGUUUGUCGUGGACACCAUCGGAUCUUACAAUGUCCUCUAUGGCAUUAAGUUUUCAAGUUGUAUUUGUCAUAUGUAGGUUAACACAGGGUCAACGGUACAAUGAAAUGUGUCUGAGAGAGACAGCAUGUCAGCAUAAAAUAUUUGCAAGAAAAUAGUACUAUAUACUAUUUAGUGCUAUAUACAAUUGAAGUUAAAACAAUAAUAACAAAAACAAUAUAGCUUAUGUACAUGAAAAGAAGAGGGGGUUGUGCAGUCCUAUAAAUAAUAAUACUUAUUUAUAUGUAGUGCAGACAGUGAGAGGGUGUGUCUGUGGGUCUGGAGGUUAUACAAUAAAUAAAAACAAAUGAUAUGAUAGGACCAGCAUCAUUAAUAACAACCUGUUGCGUCACACGUGUUGGUUUGUACGGGAGUGGCACUUAUACAUUUAUAAGGAAAUAUUUGUCAUGUUCUGUUUGCCUUUGAUUGACGCCGUUGCUAAGCUACUACUACACACACCACUUCUGAGGAAUACACCGAAUACGUUGCAUCGCAUGGAGCAGAGGGAAUGUGUCAAAUGUAAAAAUGCAACAGACACACUGACUGGAAAACAACAUUCAAACAUGUUCAUGUUCAUUCUCUGUGUCUCUCAGGUUCUGGGGCAAUGAUCGCUGUCAUCGUCGUCGGCAUCAUCAUCAUUCUCGCCAUUCUUCUCAUCAUCCUGAAGACGUACAACAGGCGGACACAUGUAUCCAGAGUCCUGGGAGCCAGUGGUGGCUCCAAACCUCGUCCGAAGAUGUCACAAUCCACAGUUCAGAGCAGCAUGCCGCUGAACACCAUAGGAGUCAACUCUGUGUCUGGAAGCAUCCUUAAUUCAAACCCAGCAUCAGAGAACAGCUUCCAGCUUCCCAGAGCGGCGCUGAACAGUGCGGAGGGAAACCACAUAGAGCAAUCGAGCACCAUCAGUGACUCCACUGUGAUCACCAUACAUGAUUCUCCAUCGAUAGGAAACACAUAGCAACAAGAUUGUGGUUUAUUCUUACAACUGGCACUGACUGAUGUGUCCUCUUCAUCCAUGACCAAAUACUGUGUGCUGACUGAAUCCUGUGGAAACUCGAUCUGUGACGUUAGUGUCGUCACUGUCGACCCCCCCCCCCCCACAACUGAGCCACUGCUGGUAACUACAAUGAUAACAUGAUGUCCUUUUGUGUACAAAAAUACACAUCAUGAACAAAACGGUACCAUAAACAGACACAAUGGAUUGCAUGAAGAAUGUUGCAUGAAGGGAAACUGAGGCUUUCUUGAGAAGAAUUGCUUUUUGGCUACAGUCAGAGUGUUCAGAGUAUAGAUGCCAGAUGUUUCUUACGACUCUUUGCAGAUCACUACUAAUACAAUGAGGAAAAUGUGUAGUAAAGACUGUAAUUGUUUGCCUGCAUUGCUCUUAAGUGUGUACAUUUCUGUAUUAAAGACAACUACAUAGGUUUAUGAGUAUAUGUAGGAUUAGUAUAAACGUCUGAGGAGACAAAGACAGUAUGAAAGAAGCUAACUCAUUGUGUAAUGGAUACUAGUAUGUUUCAGGAAAAUGUGCAGAUUUAUUUUGAUUUACCAACAAUAUACCUUAUUAAAUCUGUUUAACCUUGUAUUAUAUUGUCUUUGUCUUCUAAUCACAGAUUUGUUUUGUUUUUUUAAAUCUAUAAAAUGUCACUGUAUUGUUUUUGUACCUUGUAUGACAAAGAGACCACAGAGAUAUUUUGUGAGACAUCUGGGUGACAGCCAAACACGCUUUUUAGUUUGACGUCAAAGGAUUUUGCACUUUAUUUCCAUUGUUCCCUGUAUUUGUAUUGUUUGUGGUUCUUUUCAUGAAAUGAGAUGAAAAUAAAAUGUAAUAUUUCUAAUU
rnacentral:lncRNA from 1 species